CUUACAUAACAGGAGAGAGAAUGACUGUGUGUUUCCGUCGAUGAACAAUAUACAUUUUAUAUAAAUUCUAACAAAUCCCACUACAUCAUAAUCUAUACAUAUUGAACACUAAGAAUUGCAUUCAGUACAACAUGAAUGAAAUGUUUAUAAAGAAAGAAAUGUCUUUUUUUUGCCAAUUUAUAUGUUAAACUUUAUCUUUAAUAUAAUUCAAACUGAAUGUCACAUUGAAAAAAAUUACUGACUGAGAAAUAGAUAAGCAUCCCUUUAAAAAAUGAUAGAUGAAAAUAAGGAAACACACUAUUACAAUAUGAAAGUAAGCUCAUGAGAUGAAGCAUUGAAAAGCUAUGUUAUCUGCAACUUAUGGAAUCUAUUUCCAUUGAAAAUUGCUAUUAUUAUUUAUGAGUUUACUAGGUUUUAGAUUCACUUUGAGUGGGCUUUCAGGACUUUCAAUACAUGUAUAUAUAAAAUAUCUUGUUUAUGGUACACACGUACCCUCCCACCUAAAAUCUAUGGCUUAGAAUGUGACGAUUGGUCGGGCAAGUUGUUUAAUGAAGCUGUGCUUUUUAUACUGAUAGUCUGUACAGAUGUAUGUAUGUAAAUAUUUUAGGCUUUUGAAUGAUGUACAUUUGUGUUAAUUUCAAAGAAGUCUGUCUUGUCAGCCUCUGUUCUGAAAAUAGCUGAAACACUAUAGCAUUAAUAAUUACUGAAUUUGAAUACACUUUAUAUGUAAAGGUAUUGAAAAUGUGACUCACUUGACCUGAAUAUUUCUUAAAAGGAAAAAAAAAAUUAACGGUCUAGCUAGAACUUAAGUAGAGCAGAAAUGCUCUUGUGUAAUAUUUAUCUUUUCAUCUUUGUGAUGUACCGGUAUGCAUGAACCCACAAAGUGUAUUAUAUACCUUUAGAAAUUUCUGUUUUCACAUCAUUGUAUGGCUAUAAAUUUGCUAUUAAUAAUAGCUUUAAAUUUUUUUUCAAAAUCUGAAGUGUGAAUAAGUAUUUUAUGAAUGAUUCAGUUUCUCUCAAUAUGCAGACAAUUUUUUUUUUUUUUUUUUGCAUACAGGUAUUACCAGACUGCCUUGACGGUUAUUAUGUGAAUUUGGAUAAAUUAGAAUUUUAAUUGAUGUACCAUCCAAUGCAGUUGAGGGGUUAUUUUUUGGUAAUGUUGAACAUGAGAUCCAAAGGUAAUUUCAGAUUAAAAGCAUGAUAAGGUAUAAAAAAAGUUUGUUUAAGAGAUCAAAUUUUUUAAAAAUGCAUUAAUAAAUAGAUUUCCUAUUUAUACAUCCUUUGCUACCAGAAAUCCAUUCCAUACUGCUGUAGAAAGCAGGGAAUCAAUGUUUCAAAAAAAAUAAAAGAAAGUAGCCAAAAAAUCUCAUGCAUGUUCAAACCUGAAAUGACAUUGACAAGCAAGAUGUCAAAAAUAGAAUGAAUAACUAUGAAUGAAAUUCCGAUGAGGUGUAUUGAUUUUUGUUCUCCCUUGUCCUCGUAACUAGAAUCGAAUGUGCGCAUGAAAUAACUGUUGUAGCACUUAGCAGUCAUGGUCUUUGACCACAAAAUCUGCAUUCUCAUAGCUUUCUGUGGAAUUUUGUAGCCCCACCUAUUUACCUGUCAUUAUAAUACCAAAAUAUGAUGGCAUUCUUCAUUACUGUAAAAAAAAAAAAAAAAAGACAGAUUUUUGUUUGAUAUUUUGUCCUUCAUUCUCUGUGAUCAAAGUGGAGAUAUAGAACUGAAGCCAUUUAAUAGUGGACGAUUAUCAUGCAGGACAAGUAUACCGUACACUCAGAGUUAAAACUAAAAUCAACAACAGGUAAAGGGGCUUGUUAUAUAUCUCAGUCUAGUGAUACAUUAGUCUUGCAAGUGUCUCUCCCUCCAAUGUAGAUAAACGCUGGGCUGUGAAGUUGUUCGUUGGACCGUUACUGGAAUGCGAAGAACUAUACGUUGACAUACUUUAUUGGACCACAUACUUCGCUAUGUUACCUGGUCUGCUGAUAUGGGCUGGUAAAGUCGUGCUGUGUCGGUAGUGUUCUCACAGCCACAAACAAAAAAAAAAAAAAAAUUUCCCAGGUGAAAAUGUAUUUCUAUUACCUCCCUAAAAAAGAUUUGUGUCUGGCUGGGAAAAAAGAGAAAUUUAACAGAUAUGGUUUAAAGACAAAGUCCCAUGCAGUUUUAAAGGAAACAAAAACUGUAAGAAUAAUUCAGACAUACUCUACAAACGUGCAUGGCAACGAGGAAGGAGAUUUGUCAUAGGUGUGUAUCACAUGCGUACACAAAGAUGGAGGAGAUGACUCUUCACACAUUUGAAGUACUCGUCGUGGUCAUGUUGUAAAAUGAUUGUGAGGGCACACAAAGAUAAAAUGGAAGAAUAGCACCCAGAGAUUUGAUUGUUCAGCAUAUUUGGGCGGCUAAUCUGCUUAGUGUGUCUUUGGUAGAUCUGCGUAUAGUUUCACAAGCUGUGGAUUGGUGAUAGCCGGACAUUAUGUAACUACUUGUCAACUGCCUUUAUUGAGCCAAAGUCAAGUGCCUCAGCAGAUUUCCAUUUUGGCUGGGUCGGUUUAUGCUGUCUUGAUCAGGAUGAAUUGCAGCUCUCUUGGAGGCUUUGGCGUUUAUAGAGUAAAGAUGCUGCGGAUUCGGCUGAUGUGAAAUACAGGAAGUGGCGGAUACAAUUCGGUCACUGCCUGAGUAUUUGGAGGUAAACUGAACAAAAUAUAAAGAAGAGCAGAUGAAGAGAUGAGCAUCAUAUUGGGACCACCUGGCGGUCAGAACAGAGUUAUACACCUGAGAGACAGAUUGACCCAGGGCCCCGGACAAGAUACUCUCACUGUGGGGAAGAAUUUUAAAGACACGUCUGAAAAAAGGGAGAGGAGGGAAUUUUUCACAAAGCAGAGAGAGAGGCACUCGACAAGAAUAUUAUUGGGCUCUGGAGAUUGAUGUUAUGCGAGGCUUCUGGGUCGCAUAUGCCAUAAAUCCUGAUAUAUGCUUUUAAAUGGAGAGAGAGAAAGAAAAAAAAAAGGUGUUGCAUCAGGUGAUUGACAGAUGAAAUUGGUUUAGUCACGGUACAAGAUAGUGACCACAUCACCCAGGUUUUUACCGGGCCUGGGGGUAGAACACGACCCUGGAGUGUAUUAAAGAUGACAGAUCAUAGAGAAAAUAUGCCUUUUCAACACACAAAACUGGUUUUCAUAAUGGUUUGAGAUUGUGUUAGAUUCUGAGAUCAUUGUGAAAACUGAUUUUGUAACCACACUCAACUAUAAACUGUGUCAACGUGCCAGAACCGACGUCAAACGUGGUCAACGCUGGGAAUUUAUGCUAAUGAGCUACCCUACGUCAGACGGAGCAGAGUGAGCGACCUCUAGCGGAUUCCAGGCCGGGUCAUCUGUGGUUGUUUUGUGUAUAUUUGAUUAUUGCAUUUUAAUAAAUUUGUUU